GACAGAGGUGCCGAGCGUUAGGCGGAAUCACUGGGCUUAAAGCGUGUGUAGGCGGGUCGUUAAGUACCUUGUGAAAUCCCCCGGCUCAACCGGGGAAUGGCUGGGUAUACUGGCGAUCUUGAGCGAUCCAGGGGCAGAUGGAACAAGUGGUGGAGCGGUGAAAUGCGUAGAUAUCGGGAGGAACACCAAUGGCGAAGGCAGCUUGCUGGGACGGUACUGACGCUGAGACGCGAAAGCGUGGGGAGCAAACAGG
rnacentral:rRNA from 1 species